ACCCGACUUGAGUGGAGCUCUUUUUGGCGCGCGCGCGAAGCGCGCGCCCCAAAAAAGCGGGAACGGAAGGCGGAAAAGUCG
rnacentral:misc_RNA from 1 species